rnacentral:rRNA from 1 species
GAUGAACGCUGGCGGCGUGCCUAAUACAUGCAAGUCGAGCGAACAGACGAGGAGCUUGCUCCUCUGACGUUAGCGGCGGACGGGUGAGUAACACGUGGAUAACCUACCUAUAAGACUGGGAUAACUUCGGGAAACCGGAGCUAAUACCGGAUAAUAUAUUGAACCGCAUGGUUCAAUAGUGAAAGACGGUUUUGCUGUCACUUAUAGAUGGAUCCGCGCCGCAUUAGCUAGUUGGUAAGGUAACGGCUUACCAAGGCAACGAUGCGUAGCUGACCUGAGAGGGUGAUCGGCCACACUGGAACUGAGACACGGUCCAGACUCCUACGGGAGGCAGCAGUAGGGAAUCUUCCGCAAUGGGCGAAAGCCUGACGGAGCAACGCCGCGUGAGUGAUGAAGGUCUUCGGAUCGUAAAACUCUGUUAUUAGGGAAGAACAAAUGUGUAAGUAACUAUGCACGUCUUGACGGUACCUAAUCAGAGAGCCACGGCUAACUACGUG